UACGAACCGUGCGAACGUUAUUCGGAAUCACUGGGCUUAAAGGGAGUGUAGGCGGUCUGCCAAGUCAGUGGUGAAAUCUUUCGGCUUAACCGGAAAACUGCCCCUGAUACUGGCGGGCUCGAGGGAGAUAGAGGCAGCCGGAACUACCGGUGGAGCGGUGAAAUGUGUUGAUAUCGGUAGGAACGCCAGAGGCGUAAGCGGGCUGCUGGAUCUCUUCUGACGCUGAGACACGAAAGCUAGGGGAGCAAACGGG
rnacentral:rRNA from 1 species